GAUGAAGAACGUAGCGAAAUGCGAUAAGUAGUGUGAAUUGCAGAAUUCAGUGAAUCAUCGAAUCUUUGAACGCACAUUGCGCCCCUUGGUAUUCCAUGGGGCAUGCCUGUUCGAGCGUCAUCUACACCCUCAAGCUCUGCUUGGUGUUGGGCGUCUGUCCCGCCCCCGCGCGUGGACUCGCCCCAAAUCCAUUGGCAGCGUUCCUUGCCCCCUCUCGCGCAGCACAUUGCGCUUCUCGAGGGCGGCUCCGGGACGCGAUCCAGCAAGAUGACCACCGUCUUUGACCUCGGAUCAGGUAGGGAUACCCGCUGAACUUAAGCAUAUCAAUAACGGAGGA
rnacentral:misc_RNA from 1 species